GGUCCUUUAUGUUUCAGCACAGAAAGAAUUCACUGAGAGACAAAGUGAUAGUUCAGGAAGAUCCCUCUGGCUCAGCAUGGAGAGAGUGGAUUAGAGGGAAGACAGACCGAGGUGGGGAGCCCAGCUCUGAAGCCAGUUACAGCAACAAGCAGGGAGUAGUGAAGACUAUAUACAGCUUUUAGAAGCUAGUCCUGAGAAAUAAGAAGUCCCUGCUAUCAACAUAUAAAAUGUGCUUGCCUUCAUAUUUUAUGUGCAAGACUAAACUGAUAUACUUCUAAUCAGACCUGAUAAAGUGGAAACGUCAAAGAACAAACUUUUUUUUUUCUUUUUUUGUGGUAUGCGGGCCUCUCACUGUUAUGGCCUCUCCCGUUGCGGAGCACA